GGAGUUGUAGCUCAGUGGUAGAGCGCUUGCCUAGCAUGUGUGAGACCGUGGGUUUGAUUCUCAGCACCA
rnacentral:tRNA from 1 species